UCCCAGCCUUUGAUCUUUCUUGUUCUCCAAGCUGAAUUCCAGCCAUUAGAUGAGAUCAAAACUGAUCAAUCUUUGCCGUCCAAGCUUCUAUAUUAUGGGAGGCACUUCACUUUCAAACGUCACGCCUCACUCUUCUUCUUCCUUCUUCAGUUUUGCUGUUUCUUCUCUAAGUUCCAGCAAACCACUUCCUCCUUAAAAGCCAAAGCAAAGCUGCAGAAUCAACUCUCUUCUCUUCUCUUCUCUUUCUUUGGCUUGGUCGUUGGAGUUGCAGAAUUUUUCUUCCUUUUCCUCUUGGCUUUACCUCUCCGUAGAAGGUAGCUAAAAUACUGCUCAGAAAGUACCAGAUGACAUUGUAGACCGGAGUCUUUUCGUUAUGGAUAGCAUAGACCCCACCCCUAAGAGCAAUAGAUCAAGACCGGCCUAACUUUUGUAUUGUGCAUAUUUAUUUUGAAUUUCUGAAAAAAAUAAUGUAAUAACUAAAGAACUACUAAUAUGUAUAUGUUCUUAUAAUGAAAUAUAGCCAUGCGCUAUUCCUGGGAAA